ACGGAAGGCAGCAGUAAGGAAUAUUGGUCAAUGGACGCAAGUCUGAACCAGCCAUGCCGCGUGGAGGAUGAAGGCCCUCUGGGUUGUAAACUUCUUUUAUUUGGGACGAAAAAAGAUCAUUCUUGAUCGUCUGACGGUACCAGAUGAAUAAGCACCGGCUAACUCCGUGCCAGCAGCCGCGGUAAUACGGAGGGUGCAAGCGUUAUCCGGAUUUACUGGGUUUAAAGGGUGCGCAGGCGGAUAUGUAAGUCAGUGGUGAAAUCUCCAGGCUUAACCUGGAAAUUGCCGUUGAUACUAUAUAUCUUGAAUGCUGUGGAGGUAAGCGGAAUAUGUCAUGUAGCGGUGAAAUGCUUAGAUAUGACAUAGAACACCUAUUGCGAAGGCAGCUUACUACGCAGAUAUUGACGCUCAUGCACGAAAGCGUGGGGAUCAAACAGGAUUAGAUACCCUGGUA
rnacentral:rRNA from 1 species